rnacentral:rRNA from 1 species
CUGCAUUCGAUACUGCCGUGCUUGAGGACUGGAGAGGAGACUGGAAUUUACGGUGUAGCGGUGAAAUGCGUAGAUAUCGUAAGGAAGACCAGUGGCGAAGGCGGGUCUCUGGACAGUUCCUGACGCUGAGGCGCGAAGGUCAGGGGAGCAAACGGGAUUAGAUACCCCGGUAGUCCUGGCAGUAAACGGUGCACGUUUGGUGUGGGAGGAUUCGACCCCUUCUGCGCCGGAGCUAACGCGUUAAACGUGCCGCCUGGGGAGUACGGUCGCAAGAUUAAAACUCAAAGAAAUUGACGGGGGCCCGCACAAGCAGCGGAGCGUGGGGUUUAAUUCGACGCAACGCGAAGAACCUUACCAGGGCUUGACAUGACCAGGACCGGGGCGGAAACGUCCCCUCCCCG